rnacentral:sRNA from 1 species
GAUCUAAGGCUGUCAGAGAUGACUCUGGUUCUGUCCAUGAAUAGAUUCUGCGAGCCCAUUGUCUCGGAAGGAGCUGCUGAAAUUGCUGGGUACCAAACACUAUGGGAGGCUGACAGCUACGGAGGCCCAAGCCCCCCAGGGCCAGCACAGGCUCCUUUGCAGGGAGACCGGGGAGCUGGUCCCCCACUGGCAGGAUCACAUUACAGGGGAAUUUCAAAUCCUAUAACAACAUCCAAGAUCACAUACUUUAAGAGGAAGUAUGUGGAAGAAGAGGAUUUUCACCCACCACUCAGCAGCUGUAGCCAUAAAGAGCAGAGCAGAGGACAACUUGUAGAAGACAUUACCGUUAAGAGACAUCAACUUCGCAACAAAUAUAAGACAAGGAUUCCUAUGUGAUGCAGCUAGGUUUUUAUAUCCUUCUAACAAAUGUAUCUGUGACAGGCUGAAGAACGAUGACUAAACGAAGGGAAUUUACACAAGCUGGUC